rnacentral:ribozyme from 1 species
UUUUUUUUUUUUUUUUUUUUUUUUUUUUUUACUUCGGAAGUUAUAUUCACGGACCUCAACCUCAGAGGAACUUCAUACAAAAAGUAGCGCAA